GCCGGAGUGGUGGAACAGGUAGACGCGCCGGACUCAAAAUCCGGUGGGCUAACACCCGUGUCGGUUCGAUUCCGACCUCCGGCA
rnacentral:tRNA from 1 species